rnacentral:lncRNA from 1 species
AAAACUGUGCAGAUUACUUGGAAUUUCAACAGCUUUUCAGGGGCAUUUACGUACAGCCUUGAUUUUUAUAAUACUUCAUGCCUUGUAACCAGCAAUAAAACUGACCACUAUUUGUAAAAAAUAAAGCUCAAAGACUCCUCUGAUAAUACCAGAUAAUAGAUACUCAUCUGCUUUGAACUAAAGGAUCACUGAGCAGAACCCAAAUCUAGCCCGCAGCUGGAGGGAGAAGCCCUCCUCUUGGCUUUAUGACAAGAUCAGGUGAUGCUCAUGACUUCAAUACAUGGACUGGCCACUAAACAAGGAUUAAGACCACCUACUAAAGGGUUAGGGUGGUAUGGUGCCACCCCAAAACAGGAACCAGGCUGAGGACGCAGCAAGCUUGGUGUGAUGCCAGAAACACAAGAGAGCAAGUGGAAGCCUCGCAUACCUCUUAAGUCCUAGUUUGAAACAGGUACGUUUUUAUCUCUGCCCACAUUCCUUUUGUCUAUAAAA